CGGGGAUCAGCCCAUUAAGUUAUGUGUGUUUUAGUGGAACGCUCUGGGAAGUGCGAACGUAGAGGGUGAUAUUCCCGUACACGAAAGGGCACACAUAAUGAUGACGAGUAGGGCGAGGCACGUGAAACCUUGUCUGAAUAUGGGGGGACCAUCCUCCAAGGCUAAAUACUCCUGACUGACCGAUAGUGAACCAGUACCGUGAGGGAAAGGCGAAAAGAACCCCUGUGAGGGGAGUGAAAUAGAUCCUGAAACCGCAUGCAUACAAGCAGUGGGAGCACCUUCGUGGUGUGACUGCGUACCUUUUGUAUAAUGGGUCAGCGACUUAUAUUCAGUAGCGAGGUUAACCGUAUAGGGGAGCCGUAGAGAAAUCGAGUCUUAAUAGGGCGUUUAGUUGCUGGGUAUAGACCCGAAACCAGGCGAUCUAUCCAUGAGCAGGUUGAAGGUUGGGUAACACUAACUGGAGGACCGAACCCACUGUCGUUGAAAAGCCAGGGGAUGACUUGUGGAUAGGGGUGAAAGGCUAAUCAAGCCUGGUGAUAGCUGGUUCUCCCCGAAAGCUAUUUAGGUAGCGCCUCGGACGAAUACCAUAGGGGGUAGAGCACUGUUUCGGCUAGGGGGUCAUCCCGACUUACCAAACCGAUGCAAACUCCGAAUACCUAUGAGUACUAUCCGGGAGACAGACUGCGGGUGCUAACGUCCGUAGUCAAGAGGAAAACAAUCCAGACCGCCAGCUAAGGCCCCAAAAUCAUAGUUAAGUGGGAAACGAUGUGGGAAGGCAUAGACAGCUAGGAGGUUGGCUUAGAAGCAGCCACCCUUUAAAGAAAGCGUAAUAGCUCACUAGUCGAGUCGGCCUGCGCGGAAGAUGUAACGGGGCUAAAACUAUGUGCCGAAGCUGCGGAUGUAUACUUUGUAUACGUGGUAGGGGAGCGUUCUGUAAGCCGAUGAAGGUGUGUUGAGAAGCAUGCUGGAGGUAUCAGAAGUGCGAAUGCUGACGUGAGUAACGACAAAACGGGUGAAAAACCCGUUCGCCGAAAGACCAAGGGUUCCAGUCCAACGUUAAUCGGGGCUGGGUGAGUCGACCCCUAAGGCGAGGCCGAAAGGCGUAGUCGAUGGGAAAAUGGUUAAUAUUCCAUUACUUCUGUGUAAUGCGAUGAGAGGACGGAGAAGGCUAAAUCAGCCUGGCGUUGGUUGUCCAGGUGAAAGGAUGUAGGCAUGUAUCUUAGGCAAAUCCGGGGUACUCUAUGCUGAGAUCUGAUAGCAAGCUGUACUUGUACAGCGAAGUGGUUGAUGCCAUGCUUCCAGGAAAAGUCUCUAAGCUUCAGUUACACAGGAAUCGUACCCGAAACCGACACAGGUGGUCAGGUCGAGUAGACCAAGGCGCUUGAGAGAACUCUGCUGAAGGAACUAGGCAAAAUGGUACCGUAACUUCGGGAGAAGGUACGCUGUUGUUGGUGAUGGAACUCGCUUCCUGAGCUGACGACAGCCGCAGAAACCAGGCCGCUGCAACUGUUUAUUAAAAACAUAGCACUCUGCAAACACGAAAGUGGACGUAUAGGGUGUGAUGCCUGCCCGGUGCUGGAAGGUUAAUUGAUGGGGUUAGCGUAAGCGAAGCUCUUGAUCGAAGCCCCAGUAAACGGCGGCCGUAACUAUAACGGUCCUAAGGUAGCGAAAUUCCUUGUCGGGUAAGUUCCGACCUGCACGAAUGGCAUAAUGAUGGCGGCGCUGUCUCCAGCAGAGGCUCAGUGAAAUCGAAAUCGCUGUGAAGAUGCAGUGUACCCGCGGCUAGACGGAAAGACCCCGUGAACCUUUACUGCAGCUUGACACUGAACUUUGACCUUACUUGUGUAGGAUAGGUGGGAGGCUUUGAAGCUGGAACGCUAGUUCCAGUGGAGCCGUCCUUGAAAUACCACCCUGGUAAUGUUGAGGUUCUAACUCUGUCCCGUGAUCCGGGACGAGGACCGUGUCUGGUGGGUAGUUUGACUGGGGCGGUCUCCUCCUAAAGAGUAACGGAGGAGUACGAAGGUGCGCUCAGCGUGGUCGGAAAUCACGCGUAGAGUAUAAAGGCAAAAGCGCGCUUAACUGCGAGACCCACAAGUCGAGCAGGUACGAAAGUAGGUCUUAGUGAUCCGGUGGUUCUGUAUGGAAGGGCCAUCGCUCAACGGAUAAAAGGUACUCUGGGGAUAACAGGCUGAUACCGCCCAAGAGUUCAUAUCGACGGCGGUGUUUGGCACCUCGAUGUCGGCUCAUCUCAUCCUGGGGCUGAAGCAGGUCCCAAGGGUAUGGCUGUUCGCCAUUUAAAGAGGUACGCGAGCUGGGUUUAGAACGUCGUGAGACAGUUCGGUCCCUAUCUACCGUGGGCGCUGGAAAUUUGAGAGGAUCUGCUCCUAGUACGAGAGGACCAGAGUGGACGAACCUCUGGUGUACCGGUUGUGACGCCAGUCGCAUCGCCGGGUAGCUAUGUUCGGAAGGGAUAACCGCUGAAAGCAUCUAAGCGGGAAGCCUACCUCAAGAUAAGAUUUCCCUAGGACUUUAUGUCCUCUAAAGAGCCGUUCGAGACUAGGACGUUGAUAGGUUGGAUGUGGAAGCAUAGUGAUAUGUGAAGCUGACCAAUACUAAUUGCUCGUGAGGCUUGACUAU
rnacentral:rRNA from 1 species